rnacentral:rRNA from 1 species
UACAGGUGCUGCAUGGCUGUCGUCAGCUCGUGCUGUGAAGUGUUGGGUAAGUCCCGCAACGAGCGCAACCCUGCUGUCUGUUGCCACCACGAGAGGUGGGGACUCAGGCGGAACUGCCGGUGACAAACCGGAGGAAGGUGGGGACGACGUCAAGUCAUCAUGGCCCUUAUGUCCUGGGCUACACACGUGCUACAAUGGCCGGUACAGAGCGCAGCGAGGCCGCGAGGCGGAGCGAAUCGCUUAAAGCCGGUCCCAGUACGGAUUGGAGUCUGCAACCCGACUCCAUGAAGUUGGAAUCGCUAGUAAUCGCGCAUCAGCAUGGCGCGGUGAAUACGUUCCCGGGCCUU